UAUAUUUAGUAGAGAAGGGGGUUUGGUCAUCUUGGCCACAGGUGGUCUCGAGCUCCUGACCUCAGGUAACCCACCCACCUCAGCCUCCCAAAGUGCUGGGAUCACAAGCAUGAGCCACCAUGCCAGGCUGCAUUUUCAUGUUCUUAAAUGCAGGAUGUGUCUUACAAGCAGUGACAUCUCAGUUUGAGUGAAUUAUGAAAUGUGAGAUUUCAAAAAGAAAUUAAGUCAUUUUUAAUUUGGGUGUUCUGUUUCAGUCAAAUCAUCCUAAAUGAUAUCUUUUUAAAAUAAUUCUUCCCGGAAGAAUGGGUCAUGGCAGAAGACAGAAGAUGAGCUGUGUGUGCAAGCUUCCUCUCUGAAAUAACAGCAGCUGUGCAUACGAAGUGUUUGCUCCGCACCAGCAAAUUCCAGCUGGUACUUAAAUACCUCCUCUGCGAAGUCUUGACUGAGAUGCUGCAGCAAUUCCCGAGCUGUUUCCUCGUGGCACCUUUCCGCUGGCAGGUGGAUUAGCACAUUUUCUGCAAUCCAGGAUGACCCGGAGGAAAAUCCCAGCUCUACUGAUUCUAGCUGAGUAACCUUGGCAAAGGUCACCUCACUUCCGAGUCUCAUUUUCUCAUCGGAGGAGGAGGAGGAGGAGGAGAAGCCAGGAGGAGGAGGAAGAGGAGGAAGAGCCAAACCUCGCUGGAGGUCUGCUUCAGAGCACUUCGCACAGUGCCUGGUGCAAGGGCCUGGCACACAGCACCUCCAGACACAGUUCAUUAUAGUCGUUUUCGAUUGGGAACGUCGGUGGAGCCCCCAGAGAGCUUCUGGUCCAUCCCCUUCAUUUUCCGGAGGAGAUCAUUAGUCCUUCGCAUCCUCACCCCAGCCCACUG